rnacentral:sRNA from 1 species
GCGCAUUAUACGUAGACAAGGUCGUAAAAAUCGUUAAAGCUCAUAUCUUUUCCCCAACAUCCCUCCUUUUGGUCACUUCUCCAAUUCUCCCUUUCACAGGCGCGGUCUUAUUUCGUACAGAUCCCGGCUUUUCUACAGGACUAUUAUCCAAUAUCCUUGAAUUUCCCCCUCCACCAGCUGCUGGCGCUCUCCUCACUCCUGCAGGCGCUUUGACAGAUUCGGGCGUCUCUAGCUUCUUCUUGUGUACCUCUUUCCCUGGUGUCGCGCUGCCCAAUUUGUCGAUAUCUACAUCCCCAUACUCUUUCCACACUUCGAAAAGAGCAGUGUCCAUACUUGGCAUAGUGGGGAUCCCUUUGCGCUGGGGUGUGCGAGUACUGAUCCGUGUGCGGGUACUCGUAGUAGUCCUCACGCUGGGGCUGGGACUUGGAGUACCCUUUGGUCGGAUAAUGGGUUUGACGCCAGUAGCCGAGGUAGCUCGUCCAUUUAUAGCAGUAGGCUUGGGAGUGAGUCGAAGCGUAGAGGUCGGGACAGGUUUACUCCCGACUGAGGCCGUUGUGCUCGGUUUGACAGUUGACUUGGCGACAGCACCAGGAUUGGCUUUCAACGACGGCGUCAAUGUCCCAGUACUAGUUUUUGGACCCAGACCCGACACCCUCGCCCGUCUAGCCGCUGUUGCCGCACUGAUCCCUGCCCCUGCUCCCGUGUUACCAGAUGCAGCAGAAUUCAUGUUGGCAUUAGCAACGGUAUUAGGAGGCGUAGACAUUCUGCCUCUGUCAACACCGGCUUUCACCCUUGAGCUUUCAGGGGUGGGAAUAGUAGAUGCGGUGGCACGAGCAACUGUCUUUGUCGGGUGAGCAGUGACAGUAGGCGAUGUGGCAUUGAGGGGAGUGAGGGAACGUCUGCCAAUGGUCACACUACCGGUCGACGCGGGCGUGGAUGCUCUUUUGGACUCCGUGGCAGUAUUCGUCCCAGACGCAGUGACAUUACCAGUUGAAAAGGUAGUACUCCAAGGCCUCUGCCUAGUCGAAGAAGACGGCCUGACUCUAAUCGUUUCUUUUCCUUCCUUCUCAUUAUCAUUGCCACGAUUCGUCGCCUGACUUACCGCCCGAUUCAUCGGCUGCGAAUCCAUAAUUGGCCCUCUUACUGAAGCGGGGCCCCAUAAUCUCGAAGCUGCCGAAACAUUUGACGCAACAGACCCGGCUCUGACCAUCGCAGGCGGCAUACCUCCCCUUCCUACUCCUCUUCUUACGACACUCUCCCCUUCUGACACGUACGCGUCGUCCACAUCUUUGUCGGCUGGUAACGGCCGGAGACGGUUGGCGAAUUUGGCGUUGGCAGAGGCGGUGGUGGUGGCGAGGCUGACAGCUCGAGGUUGAUGUCGUCGAGUAGCUGCGGCGGUAAUGGUGGUUGAGGCGAUAGCUGGAGCAGGCGUAGAUGCGGAAGAGUUAGUUGUCGGGGGAAGGGUAGACGAACGUUGAGCUGACGGUCGCGGUCUGACCGACGUCGUUACCUUUGCAUUUACAUUGCUGCUCGCACUCGACAAUGCUACACCGCUCAUCUUGGAAUCUGGUCUGCUGUCACUCUCUUUCUUGGUCUCGUCUAGCCUCGUUAAAUCAGAACCGGCCGCACCAGACACGCUUCGAUCGCGCGCGUUUUUGGGUACAGCCCUCUUCCUCGGCCUUGGCUCGGCAGGUAUCAAUAUAUCACCAUCCCUAAAUACAAAGCUCAUCACACUAUCCUCGUCAUCGUCGUCCUCUUCCUCUUCACCUUCACCACGUUCACCAUCUUCCCCGAGCCGCCCUCGUGCCGGCCCGAAAGUCUUUGAGCGCCUCGCAAACCCUCUCAGACCAUCCAGCCCAAGCGACUUAUCAUAUUGUGCGGGGGAGAGAUCACCCAUGGAACGGACUUUGGAAGGAGUCAAUUUGGAGGGUCCCGAGCGAUGAUGGGUUUGUAGUUGGACGCCGCCUGGAACGAAGUGGUUGUGCGGGGUACCGGGGAUUGUGGGGAGAGUAUGUGGUCUUGAUGAGGGUGACGUCCGGGGGAAACUGUUUCGGCCGGUCGCACUAUGAUGCUUGUUAGCCUCUUUAUUUCUGCAGGACAGAACAAGGAUCUGGAGAUCCGUCAGACUCGCCUCUUCCUGUCCUCCUCUUUUCCCUCAUCUUCAUCCAUAUGCCACGCCCAGACUCUCAUGAAUUUGUACAGGUUCCUCUCUCUUCCUCCUCCCUUCCGCCCAGCUCUAUUCCCGCUCUUCUUUUCAUCUUUUUUUGGAGACAUUGACAAGGGCAGCGUCGUUGUCCCCGUUUUGGCACAGAGAAGAGACAUAUCUGUGAACCUCACAACCCAAAGUUCAUCUUUACCCCCGCCUUGACCUUUGAGGAUGUCGCUCAGUUUACUUGAGCUUUUCUUUGGUCGCAUUGGCUUUGCGCAAUCUCUGGAAUUAGGCGGGUUGGUGGAUAAGGGGGGGCUAGCAACAGACGGAGAUACUUCGGAGAGGGGUGUUUCGCUAAUCAAAAGACGGUUGGAUUUCGGGACUAACAACAUCUGUUCACGAAACUUAAUAUUGAUUGCACAAUAUGUAAAAAAAAAAUCGAGCCAGCUCACUUUAUCACCAUCUAACCCUGCAAUCCUCCCCCAAAUAUCCCUUGCCGCCUCGCGCUCCUCCUCUUCAACCUUCUCAUCUUCUAAAGCCCUUACCACUCCCUCAAUCUCCUCAACCAUCUCCACCGUCUUCUCAUACUCUUUCAAACUAGGAUCAGUAUGAUAUAGUAGGUUUUGGAACAUGAGCGGGUAUUUGAGCAGCCGUUGAAAAGGUUUAGAUAGCGAGAUGAGCAGACCUGGUGAGCCAGAGGCGAGUGCGAGGGAUUCGAGGUGGGUGAGAUAAGCUGUCAGGGCGCUAGGAUGGCGGGCGGAAGAGGAGCGUGCGGAGGGAAAGGAGGCACGUUUGGGUUUGGGGAAUGAGGUUGGUGGGGGAGGGUGAGAGAGUGAGAGGGCGUUAGACACUUGUUGUAAGGCUUUCUCGAGGUGGAGGACGUAGAUGCUGUAUUGUCGUAACACGUAUGACUGUAUGUCAGUAGAAAUUUAUCAAAACGGAACUUACAUGUGCGAUGAAAACAUCUGCCAGGCUUCUGACAAGGGGGUACUGAUCAUCAUAUCUUCUUCUUAAUGCUGCGGUCAACUUCAAAUGUC